ensembl:lncRNA
AGGAGGAGGAGGAGGGAGACGAGAAGGUCGAGGAGGAAAAUAAAAUAGAAGAAGUGAAGCCAUGGUGGAGGAGCUCAAGAUACGCAGAAGAAAAGCAGGUACAGGAGGAGGAAGAGGAGGAGGAGGAAGAAACAGAGCAGGAGGAGGAGGAAGACGAGAAGGUGGAGGAGGAGGAAAAUAAAAUAGAAGAAGUGAAGCCAUGGUGGAGGAGCUCGAGAUACACAGAAGAGAAGCAGGUACAGGAGGAGGAAGAGGAGGAGGAGGAAGAAACAGAGCAGGAGGAGGAGGAAGACGAGAAGGUGGAGGAGGAGGAAAAUAAAAUAGAAGAAGUGAAGCCAUGGUGGAGGAGCUCGAGGUAUGCAGGAGAGAAGGAGCAGUUGAAGGAAAAGGAGGAGGAGAAAGAAGAAGAGGACGAGGAGGUGGAAGAGGAGAAGGUGGAGGAAGUGAAAGAGUGGAGGAGGAACUGGAGACAGGCGAGAGAGAAGGAUGAGGAAACUGUGGAGGAGGAGAAGGAGGAUGAGACAGAAGAGGAGGAAGAGGAGAAGGAUGAGGAGACAGACCAGGAGGAGGAGGAAGAGGUGGAAGAGGAGGAGGAGGCAAAUAAAAUAGAAGAAGUGAAGCCAUGGUGGAGGAGCUCGAGAUAUGCAGGAGAAAAAGAGGAAGAGGAGACAGAGAAAGAGGAGAAGGAGGAGGAAGAGACAGAGCAGGAUGAGGAGGAAGAGGAGGAGGAGGAUGGGGAAGAGGAGAAGGUGGAGGAGGUGAAAGAUUGUAGGAGGAAUUGGAGAAAGGCAGGAGAGAAGGAUGAGGAGAUUGAGGAGCAGGGGCAGGAGGAGGAGACAGAGCAGGAGGAGGAGGAAGAUAAAGAGGUGGGGGAGGAAGAUAAACUAGAAGAAGUGGUGCCGUGGUGGAGGAGCUCGAGAUAUGCAAGAGAGAAGGAGAGGGUGAAGGAAAAGGAGGAGGAGAAAGAAGAGGAGGAUGAGAAAGAUGGGGAGGAGGAUGGGGAAGCGGGGAAGGUGGAGGAGGUGAAAGAUGAAGAGGAGACAGAGCAGGAUGAGGAAGAGGAAGAGAAAGAGUUGGAGGAGGCAAAGAUUGAAGAGGAGGAGAAGGAGGAGGAGGCUGAGGAGGAGACAGAGAAGGAUGGGGAGGAAGAGAGAGAGGUGGAGGAGGAGGAAAAUAAACUAGAAGAAGUGGUGCCGUCGUGGUGGAGCUCGAGGUACGCAGGAGAGAAGGAGAGGGUGAAGGAAAAGAAGGAGGACAAAGAAGAGGAGCUGAUGAAAGAGUGGAGGAAGGACUGGAGACAGGCAGGAGAGAAGGUGGAGGAGGAGCACGAGGAGGAGGAGGAAGAGCAGGAUGAGGAGGAAGAGAAAGAGGUGGAGGAGGAAGAGAUUGAAGAGGAGGGGAAGAAGGAGGAGCAAAAUGAUGAAGAGGGAGCAACAGAGGAGGUGGGAAAGGGGGAGGAUUGGAGGAGGAGCUGGAUAUCCCCAGGAGAGGAGGAGGGAGAGGAGGAGGAGGAGGAGGAGGAGGAGGAGGAGGAGGAGGAAGAGACAGAGCAGGUUGAGGAGGAAGAGGAAGAGGUGAAGGAGGAGGAAGAGAUGGAGGAGGAGGAAAAUAAAAUAGAUAAGGUACAGGUGCAGGAAGAGGAGGUGAAGGUUGAGCUGGAGGAGGUGAAGGAGGAGGAUGAGACAGAUGGGGAUGAGGUUAAUGAGGAGGUGACGGAGGGUGAGAUGAAGCAGUGGUGGAGGAGCUGGAGAUUCGCAGGAAUGGUGAAGGAGGUGAAGGUUGAAAAGGAGAACGAAGAGGAGGUGAAUGAGUGGAGGAAGAGCUGGAGAAACACUGUAGAGGAGGAGGAGGAAGAGGAGGAGGAGGAGGAGGAGGAGGGAGAGGUGGAGGAGAAGCUAGAAGAGGAGAAGGUUGAGCAGGAGGAGGGGAGGGUAGAGGAUGCUGAUGAGGAGACAGAUGAGGAAGAGGUUCAGGAAAAGCAAGAUGAGGGAGAGGUGAAGGAGCAGGUGAAGGGGGAAGAGAUGGUGAAGGAAGAGGAAGAUGAAGAGGAGGAGGACUCAAAUGAGGAGGAAGAGGUAAAGGAGGAGGAGGUGAAGGUUACGGUAGAGGAGGUAGAUGAGGUUAGGGUGGAGCAGGAGAAGGAUAAUGAUGAAGAGGAGGAGACUGAUGAGGAGGAAGAGGUGAAGGUUGAGGUAGAGGAGGUAGAUGAGGUUAAUGUGGAGCAGGAGGAGGAGGACUAUAAAGAGGUGGAAGAGGUGAAGGAUGAGCAGGAUGAGGUAGAGGAGGAGGGUGAUGAAGAGGAGGAGACAGAUGAGGAGGAAGAGGUGAAGGAGAAGCAGGAGGAGGAGGAUGAAGAGGAGGAGACAGAUGAGGAGGAAGAGGAGAAGGAGAAGUUAGGGAAGAUGAAUGGGUCGGAGGAGUUGAAGGAGGGAGAUAAAGCAGAGGAAGGGGAGGUAGAUGAGAUAAAGGACAGGACGAGGAGAUCGAGAAACUCAGGAGGGAUGCAGGAGGUGGAGGUAGAGGAGGAAGAAGUGUUUGAGGAUGCGAUGGAAGAGUUUGAGGAUGCGAAAGAAGGGCAUGGCAUAGAUGCUGAGAAAGACGAGGAAGUAGAGGAGACAAAACAGUGGGAAAACUCUUAAUGUGAUUGUCCUCAUAUGUAUAAUAAAUUCCUAUUUAAUUGUAUCAUUCACAUUUAUAUAACAUGAAAGUAUAUUGUAUUUUUGUGUUCCCGUAUACAGUAGUAUGUUCCUGUAUGAGAUUUGUAUUAUUUAUAUUAAUUAUUUUAUGAUAUGUGUUAUAAUGAUAUUUCCCAGUUAAAUUGUUUUUUUUAAGUUACUUAUUGAUAUAUUAAUGAUAAUGUUGAAUAAUGCAAAGUAUGAUUAUUGUUGGAUUCCCUUCGGACAAAAACUUUGAAAACUAGAAAGAAUUAUUCAAGGGUUAAUUCUUCAAGUCUAGAGUGUUAAGAAAUUACUUUCAGUC